AUUGAACGCUGGCGGCAGGCCUAACACAUGCAAGUCGAGCGGUAGAGAGGUGCUUGCAUCUCUUGAGAGCGGCGGACGGGUGAGUAAUGCCUAGGAAUCUGCCUAGUGGUGGGGGAUAACGUUCGGAAACGGACGCUAAUACCGCAUACGUCCUACGGGAGAAAGCGGGGGGAUCUUCGGACCUCGCGCCAUUAGAUGAGCCUAGGUCGGAUUAGCUAGUUGGUGAGGUAAUGGCUCACCAAGGCGACGAUCCGUAACUGGUCUGAGAGGACGACCAGCCACACUGGGACUGAGACACGGCCCAGACUCCUACGGGAGGCAGCAGUGGGGAAUUUGGACAAGUGGGCGCAAGCCUGAUCCAGCAAUGCCGCGUG
rnacentral:rRNA from 1 species